rnacentral:tRNA from 1 species
GCUCAGAUGUCCGAGCGGUCUAAGGAGCUGGAUUCAAGUCCCAGUAGGGCAACCUGCGGGGGUUCGAAUCCCCCUCUGAGCA